CCUGGGUUCCUGCUCGGAGCUCCUUCCCUACUCGCGAGGAACACAGACAGUGGUCGUUUGGGUUCUGAUUUUGUUGAGUAACCUCUCGACGACUUGCUGCGCAGUUCCUGGCUCUUCCAUCCCAAGCCUCCUCCCUCUCUCAGCUGUUUUAUAAGCUGAAUUCUAAUCUGGGUUUCUUCACAAUGUCGCCUUUGACUACAAGCUAAUAAAACCCCAAACGGGAAAUUCAGGAGUAAUGGAGAUGCCACGUGACUGUAACCUAAGGUUGUUGGUCAACUUGAUUUGGUUUUCAAGCCUGUACCCCAUCUGGGGGCUUCAGCCCCCCACCCACCUUUGUGGCAAUAAAGAGGGUCUUUGUCUUUUGUCACACUGCACGUGGGCCCUGAACCUUUCUGAGGAGUCCCGCAGACAGCUCACAACACUCCAGGACCCCUGCACGCCCCUCUCCGUGUCUGCUACCUUGCCCGGGGCUCAGGAAAGCAGCUGCCUCACCUCCCAGGCCACAGACAGGCCUUACCUGCCACCUAACCUGACCAGAGUCACCACGGUGUCCACCCUGCACAACCAGGAGGCUGGUGGAACCCUCACACGGGGGUGGCACUUUUGUUAUGAGUAUGCAAAUCCUCACCAUAAACAUCAGAGAAGUCAAGGAGAAGAACAAAGGUGUUUUGCUGCAGCCUGAAAUUCAAGGUUGCGGUUGAGCCACACUGAUGAAGAAAAGGAGGCACAGAGAGGCCAGGUGACUUACCCAAGGCCACACAGGUAGUGGGAAGCAGAGGUGGGAAUCAAGACCAGACUCCACACCCUAACCACUAGGCAAUACUGGUCUCCCACAAUACAAAACAACUGCUUGUGUCCUAAUCACAAAUGUAGAAAUCAAACGAUGCACCCAAACCCAACAAUAAGCCUGUAACCAACCAUUGUGAGACACUUCCACAAAGUGACACAUCAUACAUUAUUAAACUGGCCACUGAGCUAUGAAGACACCCCAAGCCGGGCCCACCAAGAGCACAGGUGAGUAUCUGCACAAUAGCACGUGAGCGUUCUAUGCAUGCUUGAAUAUUUAACAAACCUGGGGCUACCUAUAAGCUUCCUAACUAAUACCUCACUUCUAAGAAUUCCAACACAGACAAAAAGGCAGGGGACUUAUUUGCCCCAACGUGAGCCACCCUGGCAGUUCUAGUUAGUGCAUCGAUUGGGCUCCAGUAUGUUGAAAUGUGGGGUAUUUAAUCAGACAGAUUUUAUUUCGGUUGCACAUUUUUAUGUGGUGAAAAGAGAAUUUAAAAAAAAAAAAAAAGAGUCAAGCCCAACAUUUGAGAAACCCCCAUA